ACGACCGACAACCCAUCGCACGAACCAGGGAGCGAAGCCCCCUCGCACAAACGAGGCUGCUCUCCCUCCGCAAACCCUAGCCGCCGCACAAGGGAAGAGACGAGGGACGGCAGGAUGCACGCUGCGCCGAGACGUGUCCGCCGCCGGCCUCUCCGCACCCCAUUCCCCACCUCCUCCAGUCCUCACCUACAGCUGCUCCUCCGCGACGGCAGCAGCCCUCCAGGUGCCGCCGGCCCAAGCACGCCGCCUGCUUUGCAUGCGCCGCCGCCAGCCCACGCACACCGGUCAAGGCCUUGCCCCAGGCCACGGUUGGGCGCCGUGAUCACUCAUCUCCUCUCUGUGGCACCAUCUCUCUCAGAUCCAGGCUGCUCAACACUGUCGAGCCCCAACCAGAGCGCCCGUGCCUCACUGUCCUCGUGCGUCGUGACACUGUUUUCACCCCGUAGCCUAGGCUACGCGGGCUGACAGCCGUCGCCGCCAUCCUCACUAUCAUGUGUUGUGGCGUCCGUGUUGUUUUUAGAGCUUGAAGCAAGCAGAACAUUGAAUAUAUCUUUAGGGCGGAAGAUAUAUUCAAAGUCGUCUCUUGUACUAAUGUUCAGGGCAAUGGGCGCUUGAUAUUUUAGGGCGGAAGGCUGAAGCAAAGAAAGCGGCGACUCUUUAGUAUAUUUUUAGAUUUGCGGCUCUUUGAGCUAUGCUACAUUUGAUUCGAGACCCGGAUGAGGUCGGUUAAAUUAGGAUUAAAGUCUGCACAAUAACUAGGAAUAGCGAACAAGCAAGGCUAUUCAGAUGAAGUCUGCACUUAAUACUAUAGGUUUCCUUUUGGGCUCCUGUACAGCUUCGCUAGCAUCAUAAAUUAAUUGUGGGAUAUAAUGCACAGUAGUAGCUUCUUCUGUUUAUUGUGGAAAUCUUCUUAGUUUAUAGGUUUCCUUUUCAUCUCUUGUACUAAUGUGUAGGUAUGACAUGGUGCUUUUUUUAAUCUCUUGCGGAUGUCAAUAUUUUUUCUACAGUUACAUAUAUACAACUAAAUCAUAAAGGAUUUUAUUUUUGAUUAGGUACACCAUAGAAUAGUCUCACAUGUUGGUUUAUUUAUUACCCUGUUUAAAUAUCAACCAACAUGCUUGUCAAAAUUAUAAUUUGUUAUCUGCUUGCCUCAAGGCAAUAUUCUCCCAAGAUAUCUCUGUGUGUGUGUGUGUGUGCUUGGACAGAAACACUCCCAUACCCGAGGUCUCAGUUAAUGUACUGCUAUUGAAUUCUUCUGUCACUUUUGAUACAAAGCUAUAGCUAUACUUUCAUUUGCCAAGAAGAUAAAAUAGGUUAAAUACUGUGAUUUAGUUACUUUCAGAUUUUGGUAUCUUUUGAGAAGUGCUCCACAAAUAUGAACGAAAGGAGCUUGUAUUUGAGGUAAUAGUCUAGGAAGUUUUAUUUAAGAUAUCAUCCGUGUCAACGAAAAAUAGUCCGGCCCAACCAAUGGAUGGAUGGGGAUGAAACUCUAGACCAACACCCACCCAUGGAUGGAUGGGGAUGGGGCGACGACGGCAGAGGCGGCGGCCUUCUCUCGGUGCUUGCUGAUGUGGUGGACAUCGACGCCGGUGAAGGGUUGCAGCACGUAGACAUCAAAGGCUGCGGGUGUGACGGAGGAGCACCAUGGCGGGCGUGCAGGCCAUGGCUCGCUAUGGAAGGCCCUUCCCUUCCCUCUCUCUAUUCGGGCCAUGCUCAGGCAGUCUUUUCUCUUCUCUUCCCACAAAAAAGUCUUUUCUCUUCACGAUCUGAACAUGUUGGAGGCCAUUAUUUCUCCUCUGCCAUAGUUUGCUGCUGCUGCCAUGUUAACUGAGAGUUGGUAGCCAAUAUCAAGUGAUUUGGAAUUUUUGUUGAUUUGAACCGUAAAUGUGAUGAUUUAUCACAAUUGUCAUAUGAUCACAAUUUCUCCUCUGCCAUUAUUCGUGCCUUUGUUAAUACUUGCUUACUUCUGAAACCAGGUAUCUGAAUUUGAGGUGAUCGUUUUCUUGCUUACUUCUGAAUCCCGGUAUCUGAUUUUGAGAAGGAGUUGUGCAAGAUGUCAACAUUAUUGCGAAGAUGAAAAACUUCUACCGAAGGCUAAAAGUUUUAUAGUUUGGGGAUUCACCGGAUGGCUUCCAUGAAACAUCAUCUUUUCUUGAGAGCAUGGAGUGGCGACGGUUAUAGCAGGAGCAGGGCAGCCACAGCUUCUCCUUAUUACAAAAACUUUCAGAAACGAAGGGAAGAUAGCCUAUAAAGCGAGGACAAAAUAUGUCUGGUCAGGGACUACCAAAAAUUAAAUACGUGCCAUCUACUUCGAUUCUGACUAUGAACCUGAGAUGCACUGCACGGAGGCUGAAUUUUACCAAAGUAACUCUGGCCCUUGCAACUGUAAGGUCUGUUCUUCCUCUACAAUCCUCUAGGUUCCUAUUUUCAAUGUUAUUCAAUGAUGUAUGAACAUUGCUCGGAUUGUUGGAUUCUUUGAUGUUAUUUGUUGGAUUCAAUGAUGCAUGAACAGAGCUGAAACACAACACUUCCCAAUUUCGACUGAACAACACAACACCAGAUUGCAGUGUUCUUAAAGCCAAUAGCUUUCUUCAUGCAAAGAACAAAGGGUUCAUAAUGAUGCAGUGAUGAAAAAAAUAAUCUGAGUACAUAUUGACCUUCUCACUGAUCAUGGAAAGAGGUAACCAAGGUUUUUGAUUGGCCACACAUUAGUAUUAUGGUAGUUUUGACAAACAUGGUGAGAGUAAGUUAUGCAGACAUCAUGCUUCUUAGGUUCAAUUAUAUUGUUGUAUGUUUUGUGCUUAACAGUGCAAUUUUUAGCCUCCUUAGCCAAGCACCUUGGAAAGGAUGGAAAGGAUUCUGGUGGAAGGAUGAUGAGAAGCUGGGCAUGGCCAGUUGCACCAAAGCAUGAGAAGGCUGUGAGAGAGGUGGUGGAGAUGGUGAAGAUAUCUUGUCCGAUGGAAGAACAAGGUAACCAGAUCAGAUGUACCAUAGGCUUUAUUUCCUCACAACGACCAUUUAUGCAAUUUUCUAUUGACAUAUACCAUUGGGGAAAGGAAAUCUUCACAUGAAUUUUUACAAUACCUUCUGUUAUGUUGUAAACGUGUUGGUAGUACCAUGUAUCAUCUGGCAUUUAAAGAAUAAUUAAUUGUAAUGUGGCAUUAUCUGUCACUAGA